CCUACGGGAGGCAGCAGUGGGGAAUUUUGGACAAUGGGGGCAACCCUGAUCCAGCCAUUCCGCGUGAGUGAAGAAGGCCUUCGGGUUGUAAAGCUCUUUCGCAAGGGAAGAAAACUUAUGAUCGAAUAAAUCAUGAGGUUGACGGUACCUUGAUAAGAAGCACCGGCUAACUACGUGCCAGCAGCCGCGGUAAUACGUAGGGUGCGAGCGUUAAUCGGAAUUACUGGGCGUAAAGCGUGCGCAGGCGGUUUUGAAGUCGGAUGUGAAAUCCCCGGGCUCAACCUGGGAACUGCGUUCGAAACUGCAAGGCUAGAGUGUGUCAGAGGGGGGUAGAAUUCCACGUGUAGCAGUGAAAUGCGUAGAGAUGUGGAGGAAUACCAAUGGCGAAGGCAGCCCCCUGGGAUAACACUGACGCUCAUGCACGAAAGCGUGGGGAGCAAACAGGAUUAGAUACCCUGGUAGUCCACGCCCUUAAACGAUGUCAACUAGUUGUUGGUANAGUAAAAUCUAUGAGUAACGUAGAUACGCGUGAGUAGACGCCGUGGGAGGUACGGUACGCGAAGUAGUUAAACGUUAAAGUUAGUAAGUUAGUUAGGACGUUGAGAGNGCGAGGACGACGACGAGGGAGGAGG
rnacentral:rRNA from 1 species